AUCAUCAAUGAAUGCUAAAACUAGAUGUAAAAGUUUGAUGAGAAACAGGUUAUUUACAUAGUACUUAUAUAUGUACAUAUAUAAAUAUAUAUUGUUGUUAUAAAGGACAUUUUGACACAAUGGGGAAAAUGCCAAUAAGGUACAUAGAUUGAAUAAUAGUGUUUUAACUUCUUGAUAUUUCUGCUAUGGUUAUAUACUAGAGUAUUCUUGUGUUUAACAAUACUGCAAGUAUUUGGAUGUCAUGGGGCAUCCUGACAGCAACUUAAUGGUUCAGGGAACAAGAUAUAUGUGUGCAUUUGUAUAUUCAAAUAUGUACAGAGAAAGAGAAGGAUAAUGAUAACAUGUGGUGUAAGAGUUAAAUGCUAAUUAUCCUGAUUUGAUUAGAGCAUGCUAUAUGCUGCAUGUUGAGAUAGCACAAUGUGUGUUGAGAUAGCAAAAUGAUUCAAUUAAUAGGCACAAUUAAUACAUGUUCAUAAAAAGAUGACAAAAACAUCUUUUUUCUGAAUGAUUUUUCUAUGCUAUUUCUCAGUUAUCUUAACAGCAAAGUUAUAUUGUACUGAACAUAAAAUUAGUGAUAUAAUAUUGUUGAUUAAUUAUUAAAAAUCAUCCACUAGAAGGAAAUUUUAAAAAGAAAAAAAAGGAAGGAAAUGUAGUAAAUUGUUAACAUUUUGGGAAUCUGGGGGAAGUUUAUAUAAAAGUCUAUCUUACUUUUUUCAAGUUUUUAUAAAUCUGAAGCUACUUCAAAAUAAUUUUUUUAAAUGAUGGUUCUUAAAGAUGAGAUGUUCUGUGUAGAAGUGAGCCUCUUCCUGAAUCAAAAAGCUAAUCAAUUUGUUGAAAUAGUAUGAUUUCUCCAUUAAAAUUCUGUGACCCACUAAAAAAAAAAUUAUGUUAUUCACUAAGUAGAGCAAUUUUUUGAUGACACUAAGGAAGUCUUCUUCUAUUGACCUCCAGUUUAAUCUAGGUCAGCAUUUUCCUGAGUUUUACACAAAAACAAAUGUUUCUUUAAUCAGGGAAAUUUGUAAAAUGUUAAGCUUUAUUUCCUUCAUGAUUUCCUGUUUAUAUCAUGAAUCUGCAAGCAGUAGAUGUAGUUCCAUUAUUCUUUACAAAUAUUUAAUCUCAGACCCUUUUCUCACAAGAACUAUCAAGAAUGCAUCUUUAGGUAAAUGAUUGUGAAAAUCAUAUGCAAAUAUGCAAUCAUUUUCUAACCCUUCAUUAGAUCCAGUGGGCCUAUGUAAGAAAACAAGGAGACACAUGCCCCUCUGAUGGAUAACUCUCCCAUGAGGAUGAUUAACAAGCAUGUCAUGCUCUUGGAAAACAAUAGAGUUUGAAGAUUUAGGACAUUCUGUAGAGAACCUAGAAUUAUAAGACCAAAGGCUCAUCUUAAAACUUUUUAUACACAUCAAAAAUGUUUUGGGUUGGGGUGGAGAAUGUAACUCAGUGGUAGAGUAUGAGCAAACCUAGCAUGCAGGAGGUCCUGGAUUAACACCCCAACACACCAAAAAAUAUAUAUAAUUAAAAGCAGCAGUCUUUAUUAUGAC
rnacentral:lncRNA from 1 species